rnacentral:rRNA from 1 species
AGUGAACGUUGGCGGCGUGGAUUAGGCAUGCGAGUCGAGCGAGAACCGUAGCAAUACGGGGACAGCGGCGAAAGGGACAGUAAUAUGUAGGUACCUACCCUCGGGUCCGGGAUAGCUACGGGAAACUGCAGGUAAUACCGGACGACAUCUCCGGAUCAAAGGUGUGAUUCCGCCCGGGGAGGGGCCUGCAUCCUAUUAGCUUGUUGGUGGGGUAACGGCCUACCAAGGCGACGAUGGGUAGCGGGUGUGAGAGCAUGACCCGCGUCAUUGGGACUGAGACACUGCCCAGACACCUACGGGUGGCUGCAGUCGAGAAUCUUCGGCAAUGGGGGCAACCCUGACCGAGCGACGCCGCGUGCGGGAUGAAGGCCUUCGGGUUGUAAACCGCUGUCGUAGAGGAGGAAAUGCAGGGGGGUUCUCCCCUCUGUUUGACCUAUUCUAGGAGGAAGGACGGGCUAAGUUCGUGCCAGCCGCCGCCGUAA